CGGAGGAUCCAAGCGUUAUCCGGAUUUAUUGGGUUUAAAGGGUGCGUAGGCGGCCUAUUAAGUCAGGGGUGAAAGACGGUGGCUCAACCAUCGCAGUGCCUUUGAUACUGAUGGGCUUGAUUACACUUGAGGUAGGCGGAAUGUGACAAGUAGCGGUGAAAUGCAUAGAUAUGUCACAGAACACCGAUUGCGAAGGCAGCUUACUAAGGUGUUAAUGACGCUGAGGCACGAAAGCGUGGGGAUCAAACAGGAUUAGAUACCCUGGUAGUCCACGCCCUAAACGAUGAAUACUCGAUGUUGGCGAUAUACAGUCAGCGUCAAAGCGAAAGCGUUAAGUAUUCCACCUGGGGAGUACGCCCGCAAGGGUG
rnacentral:rRNA from 1 species